rnacentral:rRNA from 1 species
AUUGAACGCUGGCGGCAGGCCUAACACAUGCAAGUCGAACGAGUGGCGGACGGGUGAGUAAUGUCUGGGAAACUGCCCGAUGGAGGGGGAUAACUACUGGAAACGGUAGCUAAUACCGCAUACCAUCGGAUGUGCCCAGAUGGGAUUAGCUUGUUGGUGGGGUAACGGCUCACCUAGGCGACGAUCCCUAGCUGGUCUGAGAGGAUGACCGGCCACACUGGAGCUGAGACACGGGCAAGACGCCUGCGGGAGGCAGCAGUGGGGAAUAUUGCACAAUGGGCGCAAGCCUGAUGCAGCCAUGCGGAGUGUAUGAAGAAGGCCUUCGGGUUGUAAAGUACUUUCAGCGGGGAGGCGUUACUCGCAGAAGAAGCACCGGCUAACUCCGUGCCAGCAGCCGCGGUAAUUC